AUGGCGACUGGCGCACGGGUGAGUAACACGUAUCCAACCUGCCGAUGACUCGGGGAUAGCCUUUCGAAAGAAAGAUUAAUACCCGAUGGCAUAGUUCUUCCGCAUGGUGGAACUAUUAAAGAAUUUCGGUCAUCGAUGGGGAUGCGUUCCAUUAGGUUGUUGGCGGGGUAACGGCCCACCAAGCCUUCGAUGGAUAGGGGUUCUGAGAGGAAGGUCCCCCACAUUGGAACUGAGACACGGUCCAAACUCCUACGGGAGGCAGCAUG
rnacentral:rRNA from 1 species